UUCACUGACCAUUAUCUCAUUUGUUCUUUUGCUUUAUUAUUUUGAGUAGACAUGUAAUAAUUUGUAAAUAAUUUUCUGGAGAAGGUUCUUAUACAGCAAUCAGUGGUAACUUUGUAGGCUUAUAACUGGUCAAAGUGCUGAGCAUAGGGACUGUUGAAACCUCACAUGAACAUGAGAAUACUUUAUCAUUCCUCAAACUAUCUUGAAGGAGAUAAUAAUUGGUAAAUAAUAAGUGCCAAAAAGGAUGUGUGAUAGGUUUGAACAUCUUUCAAACAUAACAUCACUAUUAUACCAUUGGUCUCACAGAACAUGUCAUUACUGGCACAAAACCUGUGCAAGUUUGGAUCUGUUAACCUUCUGUCAUGGGAAGCAGAGAAGGGCUCAUGAACACCAUAGUAGAAACUUUAUGACAGCUUGGCUUUGUACAAAUUUGGCAAUUAUUCUACAGUGGUAAUAUUUCUGAAAAAAUAAUUUGACACUUGCUCAUCCAGCAGCCAUCGAUGUUAAUUUCAUAUGAUCAAACUAUUGGUGAGUACACAUUUAUCGUAAUUGGAAUUUUAAUGGUUUUUCAUUAAUUAUCGACCAACACUGAAUGCAACCAGAAUUAUUUCUCAGAAACCCCUUAGAACAGCACAAAUUCUUGGAUAUAACCUGAAACACAUAUUUUUGUGUGUGAAAAUGACCAUUUAGAAUAGCAUCAAAUAAUUUUAUGCUAGGACGUACAAUGUCCGUCGACAUGUUUUUUAUGUAUGUUUGCAGUGCCAUGCCUCAUUUUUUAGCCUCUGAAGGAAGCCUCAAUUGCGAUAAAGAAAGCGGUUGUUUAGUCCUAUAGACCGUUUCACUGGUACUGUACUUUUGGCACAUUUUGCCUCUCAUGUCAUUAUUGUAGCCUGCAAUGUCCAGCAGUACGUAAAUAAAUCACUAUCUUUGAUCUUGCUAAUAAUCUGAAUAGCACUUCCAUGUAGUAUUAAAGAGAGCUAACAGAA
rnacentral:sRNA from 1 species